rnacentral:rRNA from 1 species
AGUGAACGCUGGCGGUAGGCCUAACACAUGCAAGUCGAACGGCAGCACAGUAAGAGCUUGCUCUUACGGGUGGCGAGUGGCGGACGGUUGAGGAAUACAUCGGAAUCUACUUUUUCGUGGGGGAUAACGUAGGGAAACUUACGCUAAUACCGCAUACGACCUACGGGUGAAAGCAGGGGAUCUUCGGACCUUGCGCGAUUGAAUGAGCCGAUGUCGGAUUAGCUAGUUGGCGGGGUAAAGGCCCACCAAGGCGACGAUCCGUAGCUGGUCUGAGAGGAUGAUCAGCCACACUGGAACUGAGACACGGUCCAGACUCCUACGGGAGGCAGCAGUGGGGAAUAUUGGACAAUGGGCGCAAGCCUGAUCCAGCCAUACCGCGUGGGUGAAGAAGGCCUUCGGGUUGUAAAGCCCUUUUGUUGGGAAAGAAAAGCAGCAGGUUAAUACCCCGCUGUUCUGACGGUACCCAAAGAAUAAGCACCGGCCAACUUCGUG